UGGGGAAUUUUGGACAAUGGGCGAAAGCCUGAUCCAGCAAUGCCGCGUGUGUGAAGAAGGCCUUCGGGUUGUAAAGCACUUUUGUCCGGAAAGAAAUCCUUGGCUCUAAUACAGUCGGGGGAUGACGGUACCGGAAGAAUAAGCACCGGCUAACUACGUGCCAGGCAGCCGCGGUAAUACGUAGGGUGCAAGCGUUAAUCGGAAUUACUGGGCGUAAAGCGUGCGCAGGCGGUUUGCUAAGACCGAUGUGAAAUCCCCGGGCUCAACCUGGGAACUGCAUUGGUGACUGGCAGGCUAGAGUAUGGCAGAGGGGGGUAGAAUUCCACGUGUAGCAGUGAAAUGCGUAGAGAUGUGGAGGAAUACCGAUGGCGAAGGCAGCCCCCUGGGCCAAUACUGACGCUCAUGCACGAAAGCGUGGGGAGCAAACAGGAUUAGAUACCCUGGUAGUCCACGCCCUAAACGAUGUCAACUAGUUGUUGGGGAUUCAUUCCUUAGUAACGUAGCUAACGCGUGAAGUUGACCGCCUGGGGAGUACGGUCGCAAGAUUAAAACUUAAAUGAAUUGACGGGGUCAUAGCUG
rnacentral:rRNA from 1 species